CAAUAGCGUAUAUUAAAGCUGUUGCGGUUAAAAAGCUCGUAGUUGGAUUUCUGUCAAGGACAACUGGUCCGCCCUCCGGGUGAGCACAUAGUUUGGUCUUGACAUCUUGCUGGAAGCUGUUGCUGCACUUGGCUGUGUGGCGCAGUGUUCAGCACUUUCACUUUGAGGAAAUCGGAGUGUUUCAAGCAGGCACAUGCCUUUGGACACAGUAGCAUGGAAUAAUUAGAUUGGGCUUUUGCUCCAAUUUGUCGGUUUCUGGAGCUGAGGUGAGUAUUAAUGGGGAUUGUUGGGGGCAUCCGAAUUUAGCCGUCAGAGGUGAAAUUCUUGGAUCUGCUAAAGACGGACAACUGCGAAAGCGUUUGCCCAGGAUGUUUNCAUUGA
rnacentral:rRNA from 1 species